rnacentral:rRNA from 1 species
GAAUUCGCCCUUAGAGUUUGAUCCUGGCUCAGGAUGGACGCUGGCGGCGUGCCUAACACAUGCAAGUCGAGCGAGAAUUCCUUAACUGAUUCUCCGGAUGAUUUUAAGGAAGGAAAGCGGCGGACGGGUGAGUAACGCGUAGGCAACCUGCCUCUCACAGAGGGAUAGCCACUGGAAACGGUGAUUAAAACCUCAUAACGCCACUCUGAGACAUCUCAGAAUGGCCAAAGAUUUAUCGGUGAGAGAUGGGCCUGCGUCUGAUUAGCUUGUUGGCGGGGUAACGGCCCACCAAGGCGACGAUCAGUAGCCGACCUGAGAGGGUGACCGGCCACAUUGGGACUGAGACACGGCCCAAACUCCUACGGGAGGCAGCAGUGGGGAAUAUUGCACAAUGGGGGAAACCCUGAUGCAGCGACGCCGCGUGAGUGAAGAAGUAUUUCGGUAUGUAAAGCUCUAUCAGCAGGGAAGAAACUGACGGUACCCUUGGAGGAAGCCCCGGCUAACUACGUGCCAGCAGCCGCGGUAAUACGUAGGGGGCAAGCGUUAUCCGGAAUUAUUGGGCGUAAAGCGUGCGUAGGUGGUCCUUUAAGCGCAGGGUUUAAGGCAAUGGCCCAACCAUUGUUCGCCCUGCGAACUGGAGGACUUGAGUGCAGGAGAGGAAAGCGGAAUUCCUAGUGUAGCGGUGAAAUGCGUAGAUAUUAGGAGGAACACCAGUGGCGAAGGCGGAUUGCUGGACGAUAACUGACGGUGAGGCGCGAAAGCGUGGGGAGCAAACAGGAUUAGAUACCCUGGUAGUCCACGCUGUAAACGAUCAAUACUAGGUGUGCGGGGACUGACCCCCUGCGUGCCGCAGUUAACACAAUAAGUAUUGCACCUGGGGAGUACGAUCGCAAGGUUGAAACUCAAAGGAAUUGACGGGGGCCCGCACAAGCGGUGGAUUAUGUGGUUUAAUUCGAAGCAACGCGAAGAACCUUACCAGGGUUUGACAUCCCGAUGACCGGUAUAGAGAUAUACUUUUCCUUUCGGGGACAUCGGAGACAGGUGGUGCAUGGUUGUCGUCAGCUCGUGUCGUGAGAUGUUGGGUUAAGUCCCGCAACGAGCGCAACCCCUAUUGUUAGUUGCUACGCAAGAGCACUCUAGCGAGACUGCCGUUGACAAAACGGAGGAAGGUGGGGACGACGUCAAAUCAUCAUGCUCCUUAUAUCCUGGGCUACACACGUAAUACAAUGGUGGAGAACAGAGGGAUGCAAAGCCGCAAGGUGGAGCGAACCCCUAAAAGC